UCUAGGAAGUCACAUUAGACAGCGGAGCACCGUUUGUGUCUUCCUGUACGCAGCUCUGUCUGGCCGCUACGUCCUUGCACACUGCUGCUCCAGAAGCCCAGUCCUGCCUCACCAUGCAGGUCAUUUAUCUCAAAACUCCCAGGGCUGAUGUCGGACAGACUGCUGCAGGCAAAAUGUCGGUUUGCGACUCCGCGGUCACCCCUCUCCCACUCGGUGUACAGUGUGUAAUCCUGCAGUAACAAGUAACUGUUCGAGCUGGCGGCGCUCUGAGCAGAUGUCGGGCUCCAAGCACGACGCUGAGCUCAGCUGCUGUGAGAGGGCUUUUCUAACAGAGCUGACCUCGGAGCUGCGGCGGUAUCUCUACACACACACGCCAGCUUUCAACAACAACAACAACAACAACAGCGGAAACAGCAAAAAUAAUAAUAAUAAUAAUAAAGAAUGACAGUUUGCUUCUUGCACUCUGCUAUAAGAUAUCAAUGGACUUCCAUGCUCUGACAGCGUUUCAUACAAAUA